ncrna:unclassified sequences Glutamine riboswitch
AUCGUUCAUCUUUAAAAAUUUAUUUUUUAAAGACGGAAGUAGACGAAAGUCGAAGGAACGCAUG